rnacentral:rRNA from 1 species
GAUGAACGCUAGCGGCAGGCUUAGUACAUGCAAGUCGAGGGACAGCACAGGUAGCAAUACUGGGUGGUAACCGGCAAACGGGUGCGGAACACGUACACAACCUUCCUUUAAGUGGGGGAUAGCCCAGAGAAAUUUGGAUUAAUACCCCGUAAUAUAGUUGAAUGGCAUCAUUUGAUUAUUAUAGCUACGGCGCUUAAUGAUGGGUGUGCGGCUGAUUAGAUAGUUGGCGGGGUAACGGCCCACCAAGUCUACGAUCAGUAGCUGAUGUGAGAGCAUGAUCAGCCACACGGGCACUGAGACACGGGCCCGACUCCUACGGGAGGCAGCAGUAAGGAAUAUUGGUCAAUGGACGCAAGUCUGAACCAGCCAUGCCGCGUGAAGGAUUAAGGUCCUCUGGAUUGUAAACUUCUUUUAUUUGGGACGAAAAAGGGCCUUUCUAGGUCAACUGACGGUACCAGAUGAAUAAGCACCGGCUAACUCCGUGCCAGCAGCCGCAGUAAAAC